GGGGAGAGUAUAGGUCAGUGGUAAAGCACAUGCCUAGAAUGCAUGAGGUCCUGGGUUCAAUCCCCAGUCCCCCCA